rnacentral:rRNA from 1 species
AGUGAGCGGCAAAGCUCAAAUUUGAAAUCUAGCACCUUCGGUGUUCGAGUUGUAAUUUGAAGAUGGUAACCUUGGGUUUGGCUCUUGUCUAUGUUCCUUGGAACAGGACGUCAUAGAGGGUGAGAAUCCCGUCUGAUGAGAUGCCCAUUCCUAUGUAAGGUGCUAUCGAAGAGUCGAGUUGUUUGGGAAUGCAGCUCUAAGUGGGUGGUAAAUUCCAUCUAAAGCUAAAUAUUGGCGAGAGACCGAUAGCGAACAAGUACAGUGAUGGAAAGAUGAAAAGAACUUUGAAAAGAGAGUGAAAAAGUACGUGAAAUUGUUGAAAGGGAAGGGCAUUAGAUCAGACUUGGUGUUUUACGAUUAUCUUCUCUUCUUGAGUUGUGCACUCGUAUUUCACUGGGCCAGCAUCGAUUCGGAUGGCAAGAUAAUGGCAGUUGAAUGUGGCUUCACUUCGGUGGAGUGUUAUAGCUUCUGCUGAUAUUGCCUGUCUGGAUCGAGGGCUGCGUCUUUUGACUAGGAUGCUGGCGUAAUGAUCUAAUGCCUCCCGUCUUGAAACAACGGACCAA